UAGGGAAUCUUCGGCAAUGGGGGGAACCCUGACCGAGCAACGCCGCGUGAGUGAAGAAGGUUUUCGGAUCGUAAAGCUCUGUUGUUAAGGAAGAACGAGUGUGAGAAUGGAAAGUUCAUACUGUGACGGUACUUAACCAGAAAGGGACGGCUAACUACGUGCCAGCAGCCGCGGUAAUACGUAGGUCCCGAGCGUUGUCCGGAUUUAUUGGGCGUAAAGCGAGCGCAGGCGGUUAGAUAAGUCUGAAGUUAAAGGCAGUGGCUCAACCAUUGUAGGCUUUGGAAACUGUUUGACUGGAGUGCAGAAGGAGAGGGUGGAAUUCCAUGUGUAGCGGUGAAAUGCGUAGAUAUAUGGAGGAACACCGGUGGCGAAAGCGGCUCUAUAGUCUGUAACUAACGCUGAGGCUCGAAAGCGUGGGGAGCGAACAGG
rnacentral:rRNA from 1 species